rnacentral:tRNA from 1 species
CCCGUCGUGGCAGAUCGGCAAUGCGCCCGCCUUUUAAGCGGAACCAUGCUGGUUCGACUCCAGCCGACGGGACCA